UGGGGAUGUAGCUCAGUUGGUAGAGUGCUUGUCUGGCAAGCAUGAGGCCCUGGGUUCAAUCCCCAGCACCACAA